rnacentral:rRNA from 1 species
GUCAGCCGCCGCGGUAACACCGGCAGCUCUAGUGGUAACAAUUUUAUUGGGCCUAAAGCGUCCGUAGCCGGUUUAAUAAGUCUCUGGUGAAAUCCUGUAGCUUAACGUGUGGGAAUUGCUGGAGAUACUAUUAGACUUGAGACCGGGAGAGGUUAGAGGUACUCCCAGGGUAGAGGUGAAAUUCUGUAAUCCUGGGAGGACCGCCUGUUGCGAAGGCGUCUAACUGGAACGGUUCUGACGGUGAGGGACGAAAGUUAGGGGCGCGAACCGGAUUAGAUACCCGGGUAGUCCUAACUGUAAACGAUGCGGACUUGGUGUUGGGGUGGCUUUGAGCUGCUCCAGUGCCGAAGGGAAGCUGUUAAGUCCGCCGCCUGGGAAGUACGGUCGCAAGACUGAAACUUAAGGAAUUGGCGGGGGAGCACCACAACGCGUGGAGCCUGCCGGUUUAAUUGGAUUCAACGCCGGACAUCUCACCAGAGGCGACAGCUGUAUGAUAGCCAGGUUGAUGACUUUGCUUGACUAGCUGAGAAGAGGUGCAUGG